GAUGAACGCUGGCGGCGUGCCUAAUACAUGCAAGUCGAGCGAACGGACGAGAAGCUUGCUUCUCUGAUGUUAGCGGCGGACGGGUGAGUAACACGUGGAUAACCUACCUAUAAGACUGGGAUAACUUCGGGAAACCGGAGCUAAUACCGGAUGAUAUUUUGAACCGCAUGGUUCAAAAGUGAAAGACGGUCUUGCUGUCACUUAUAGAUGGAUCCGCGCUGCAUUAGCUAGUUGGUAAGGUAACGGCUUACCAAGGCAACGAUGCAUAGCCGACCUGAGAGGGUGAUCGGCCACACCGGAACUGAGACACGGUCCAGACUCCUACGGGAGGCAGCAGUAGGGAAUCUUCCGCAAUGGGCGAAAGCCUGACGGAGCAACGCCGCGUGAGUGAUGAAGGUCUUCGGAUCGUAAAACUCUGUUAUUAGGGAAGAACAUAUGUGUAAGUAACUGUGCACAUCUUGACGGUACCUAAUCAGAAAGCCACGGCUAACUACGUG
rnacentral:rRNA from 1 species